rnacentral:rRNA from 1 species
AGUGAACGCUGGCGGUAGGCCUAACACAUGCAAGUCGAACGGCAGCACAGUAAGAGCUUGCUCUUACGGGUGGCGAGUGGCGGACGGGUGAGGAAUACAUCGGAAUCUACUUUUUCGUGGGGGAUAACGUAGGGAAACUUACGCUAAUACCGCAUACGACCUACGGGUGAAAGCAGGGGAUCUUCGGACCUUGCGCGAUUGAAUGAGCCGAUGUCGGAUUAGCUAGUUGGCGGGGUAAAGGCCCACCAAGGCGACGAUCCGUAGCUGGUCUGAGAGGAUGAUCGGCCACACUGGAACUGAGACACGGUCCAGACUCCUACGGGAGGCAGCAGUGGGGAAUAUUGGGCAAUGGGCGCAAGCCUGAUCCAGCCAUACCGCGUGGGUGAAGAAGGCCUUCGGGUUGUAAAGCCCUUUUGUUGGGAAAGAAAAGCAGCAGGUUAAUACCCCGCUGUUCUGACGGUACCCAAAGAAUAAGCACCGGCUAACUACGUG